rnacentral:rRNA from 2 species
AAAUUGAAGAGUUUGAUCAUGGCUCAGAUUGAACGCUGGCGGCAGGCCUAACACAUGCAAGUCGAACGGUAACAGGAAGCAGCUUGCUGCUUUGCUGACGAGUGGCGGACGGGUGAGUAAUGUCUGGGAAACUGCCUGAUGGAGGGGGAUAACUACUGGAAACGGUGGCUAAUACCGCAUAACGUCGCAAGACCAAAGAGGGGGACCUUCGGGCCUCUUGCCAUCAGAUGUGCCCAGAUGGGAUUAGCUUGUUGGUGAGGUAACGGCUCACCAAGGCGACGAUCCCUAGCUGGUCUGAGAGGAUGACCAGCCACACUGGAACUGAGACACGGUCCAGACUCCUACGGGAGGCAGCAGUGGGGAAUAUUGCACAAUGGGCGCAAGCCUGAUGCAGCCAUGCCGCGUGUAUGAAGAAGGCCUUCGGGUUGUAAAG